rnacentral:miRNA from 1 species
GGACGGAGACUUGAUAUGGAC